rnacentral:hammerhead_ribozyme from 1 species
GCACUGCCGACGAAUCCCAAACAGGACGAAACAGCUGUUCAGUGC